rnacentral:lncRNA from 1 species
UAUAGAAUAUGAUAUAUAAAUAUUAUAUAGAAUAUGAUAUAUAAAUAUUAUAUGUAAUAUAAUAUAUAAAUAUUAUAUGUAAUAUAAUAUAUAAAUGUUAUAUGUUAUAUAUAAUAUGAUAUAUAAAUGUUAUGUAUGUUAUAUAUAAUAUGCUAUAUAAAUGUUAUAUAUGUUAUAUAUAAUAUGAUAUAUAAAAAUGUUAAUUUUUAUGGGGACACCCGAAACACAGUAUAUAUACAUAUAUAUAUACACAUAUAUAUAUUUAUGCAAAAUAAAAUCUCACAUGUCUAGUUCAUGCACCAUGGUCAGACUGGGAUUGGGUUAAAGGCCUUCUUUGGAAAGGUAAAUGAGAUGGGAAAAGAAGACUGGCUUGAGGUUUGACUGCAGAGGCGUACUAUAUGUAUAUAGUAUGUUUUGAGUGUCUCCAUAAAAACUUAUGCUGAAAUUUAGUUGCCACUGAUGGAACUGGGAGGUGGGGCCUUAAAAGGUGAUUGGGUCAUGAGGGUAGAGCCCUCACGAAUGGAUUAAUGCCAUUAACACAGGAGUGAGUUAGUUCUAGGAAGUGCAUUAGUUCUCACAAGAGCAGCUCAUCAUAAAGGUGAGCUUAGCUUGCCCUUGCGGUCUCUUCUGCAUGUACUUCUUUGCCCUCUCCCCUUCUGUCAUGAAAGCCUUCACCAGAUGGUCAAGCAGAUGCUGGUGCCAUGCCCUUGAACUUCCCACCACCAUCCCCCACCUAGCCACUAUACGGGUUGUUAGAUAUUUUGACCACCUCCUCUUCACUCACUCCACUAUUCAACUCACUGCAUCAUCAAUGUAUUUAUUACAAACCUGUCACAAGCCAGGUCUUAUGCUAGGUGCUCCUCUCAACAGGUUCUUGAGCUGGCAGGGGAGAGAGAGACAUUCAAACACCAAGGAUUAAUAUACCAUGACAGGUUUAAAGACAGAGGCCUAUAAGGGUCCCCUGGCAGUGCCAUGGAGGUAGGGCAUGGUCGGCUAUACCUGUAGAGGUGUCUAAAGGGAGGCUUGCAAGCUGCCCCUUGAAGGACGAGCAGAAAAUUGUACAUGAGGACAAGUAGGAAAGGAAUUCCAGGAGGAGGGAUCAGCAUGUGCAAAGGCAUGGAGGUUGUCCAUAGAAUGUAGAGAGAAAAUAUUAAAACCUAUAUUUAUACUAA